rnacentral:rRNA from 1 species
GACGAACGCUGGCGGCGUGCUUACCACAUGCAAGUCGAACGAAGUGGCGAACGGGUGAGUAACGCGUAAUCAACCUGCCCUUCAGAGGGGGACAACAGUUGGAAACGACUGCUAAUACCGCAUACUGAAGGAGGGGAUUGCGGCUGAUGAGCUAGUUGGAGGGGUAACGGCCAACCAAGGCGAUGAUACGUAGCCGGUCUGAGAGGAUGAACGGCCAGAUGGGGAAUGAGACACGGCCAAGACUCCUACGGGAGGCAGCAGUGGGGAAUCUUACGAAAUGGACGAAAGUCUGACUGAGCAACGCCGCGUGAGUGAUGACGGCCUUCGGGUUGUAAAGCUCUGUUAAUCGGGACGCGGUACCGGAAUAGAAAGCCACUGCUAACUACGUGCCAGCAGCCGCGGUAAUUC